GACGAACGCUGGCGGCGUGCCUAAUACAUGCAAGUCGAACGAGAGCAACCGGUGCCUGCACUGGUCAAUCUAGUGGCGAACGGGUGAGUAACACGUGGGUAACCUGCCCAUCAGAGGGGGAUAACAUCCGGAAACGGAUGCUAAAACCGCAUAGGUCUUCGAACCGCAUGGUUUGAAGAGGAAAAGAGGCGCAAGCUUCUGCUGAUGGAUGGACCCGCGGUGCAUUAGCUAGUUGGUGAGGUAACGGCUCACCAAGGCCGUGAUGCAUAGCCGACCUGAGAGGGUGAUCGGCCACAUUGGGACUGAGACACGGCCCAAACUCCUACGGGGGGCAGCAGUAGGGACUCUUCCGCAAUUGACGCAAGUCUGACGGAGCAACGCCGCGUGAGUGAAGAAGGUUUUCGGAUCGUAAAACUCUGUUGUUAGAGAAGAACAAGUGCUGGAGUAACUGUUAGCGCCUUGACGGUAUCUAACCAGAGAGCCACGGCUAACUACGUG
rnacentral:rRNA from 1 species